rnacentral:rRNA from 1 species
AUAGGAAAAGUAAAGGCAUCUUUACUUUUUUAAAAGACCUUCUUUGAAGGUAUGCUUAAGGAGGGGCUUGCGACACAUUAGUUAGUUGGCAGGGUAAAGGCCUACCAAGACUAUGAUGUGUAGCUGGGCUGAGAGGUUGAACAGCCACAUUGGGACUGAGACACGGCCCAAACUCCUACGGGAGGCAGCAGUAGGGAAUUUUCGGCAAUGGAGGAAACUCUGACCGAGCAACGCCGCGUGAACGAUGAAGUGCCUCGGUAUGUAAAGUUCUUUUAUUAAGGAAGAAAAAAGAGUGGAAAAACUCCCUUGACGGUACUUAAUGAAUAAGCCCCGGCUAAUUAUGUGCCAGCAGUCGCGGUAAUACAUAAGGGGCGAGCGUUAUCCGGAAUUAUUGGGCGUAAAGGGUGCGUAGGCGGUUUAAUAAGUCUAUAGUUUAAUUUCAGUGCUUAACGCUGUUGCGCUAUAGAAACUGUUUUACUAGAGUGAGUUAGAGGCAAGCGGAAUUCCAUGUGUAGCGGUAAAAUGCGUAAAUAUAUGGAGGAACACCAGAGGCGUAGGCGGCUUGCUGGGACUUUACUGACGCUGAGGCACGAAAGCGUGGGGAGCAAACAGGAUUAGAUACCCUGGUAGUCCACGCCGUAAACGAUGAGUACUAAGUGUCGGGUAAAACCGGUACUGAAGUUAACACAUUAAGUACUCCGCCUGAGUAGUACGUACGCAAGUAUGAAACUUAAAGGAAUUGACGGGACUCCGCACAAGCGGUGGAUCAUGUUGUUUAAUUCGAAGAUACACGAAAAACCUUACCAGGUCUUGACAUUUUCUUGCGAAGUUAUAGAAAUAUAAUGGAGGUUAUCAGGAAAACAGGUGGUGCAUGGUUGUCGUCAGCUCGUGUCGUGAGAUGUUAGGUUAAGUCCUAAAACGAGCGCAACCCUUGUCGUUAAUUGCCAGCAUGUAAUGAUGGGGACUUUAACGAGACUGCCAAUGAAAAAUUGGAGGAAGGUGGGGAUUACGUCAAAUCAUCAUGCCCCUUAUGAUCUGGGCUACAAACGUGAUACAAUGGUUGAUACAAAGAGUAGCUGAAACGCGAGUUCUUAGCCAAUCUCACAAAAUCAAUCUCAGUUCGGAUUGAAGUCUGCAACCCGACUUCAUGAAGUUGGAAUCGCUAGUAAUCGCGAAUCAGCAUGUCGCGGUGAAUACGUUCU